CAAUAGCGUAUACUAAAGUUGUUGCAGUUAAAAAGCUCGUAGUCUGAUUUCGGGGUGCAAUUUUUUUUCUGGGUGGGAUUUGUGUGGUAGCGAGAGUAUUUUCUCUUGUUGCUGUCACGGCCCCCUGGAUGCACCUCUUUUUCCCGAUUAUUGCUGGUGCGUGGGCAUUUGUUUGCUCGUGUGCCGUUUUAUGGCGAUGUUUGGGGCUUUACUUUGAAAAAAUUAGAGUGUUCAAAGCAGGCGUUUUUUAUUUGCUUGAAUAGAUUAGCAUGGAACAACAGAAGAGGACUUUUGGGCCUGUUUUUUGUUGGCCGGGGGGCGCCUCGUUUCGGCGGGGCGUCUUCCGCAGGUCUGAAGUAAUGAUUAAUAGGGAUGGUUGGGGGCAUUGGUAUUUCACAGUCAGAGGUGAAAUUCUUGGAUUUGUGAAAGACGACCGACUGCGAAAGCAUUUGCCAAGGACAUUUUCAUUGA
rnacentral:rRNA from 1 species